CCUACGGGAGGCAGCAGUGGGGAAUAUUGCACAAUGGGGGAAACCCUGAUGCAGCGACGCCGCGUGAAGGAAGAAGUCUCUCGGUAUGUAAACUUCUAUCAGCAGGGAAGAAAAUGACGGUACCUGACUAAGAAUCCCCGGCUAACUACGUGCCAGCCGCCGCGGUAAUACGUAGGGGGCAAGCGUUAUCCGGAUUUACUGGGUGUAAAGGGAGCGUAGACGGUCCUGCAAGCCAGAUGUGAAAGCCCGGGGCUCAACCCCGGGACUGCAUUUGGAACUGUAAGGCUAGAGUGUCGGAGAGGCAGGCGGAAUUACGAGUGUAGCGGUGAAAUGCGUAGAUAGUAGGAGGAACACCAGUGGCGAAGGCGGCCUGCUGGACGAUGACUGACGUUGAGGCUCGAAAGCGUGGGGAGCAAACAGGAUUAGAUACCCUUGUAGUC
rnacentral:rRNA from 1 species